AACCAUUCUCACCUGCGGCUAGACCUGCGGAAGGAUCAUUACUGAGUCACGUGCUCAAACAACCCUUCUGUGGACCUGAAAUAAAACCGUUGCCUCGGCGGGCGGUCCCCCCCAAACCAACCCCACGUGGUGGGUUAGGGGAGACCAGACAGUCCGGUACGCUUAUGGCGUCCGGCGCCAGCCGCUGGCCCCAAACAAUUAAACUCUAGUAAUCUUUACCUUCUGAAUUUCAAUAUUUAA
rnacentral:misc_RNA from 1 species